rnacentral:rRNA from 1 species
UACGUAGGGGGCAAGCGUUGUCCGGAUUUAUUGGGCGUAAAGAGCGUGUAGGCGGCUAGGUAGGUCCGUUGUGAAAACUCGAGCUCAACCUCGAGACGCCGGUGGAAACCAUCUAGCUAGAGUCCGGAAGAGGAGAGUGGAAUUCCUGGUGUAGCGGUGAAAUGCGCAGAUAUCAGGAAGAACACCCUGGCGAAGGCGGCUCUCUGGGAACGUGAC